AGCGGGCUUAGUAAGUUACGAACUGCAUGCAAGUGCACAUCGAUUGUAUUGACAGCUAUCUCUCGGCUGAUCCCGACGUCUGUGUCUUGUUUCGCUUUGCUAUUUUUUUUCUUCGCCAUUGCAAUCUCAUCGCUAGUAUCAUUGCAGUUUCAUCUCGCGCAGCGGUUUCAAAAUCGGGAAACGCAUAACUAAUUCGGAGUUUGCGAAUUUAUCAAUUGAUGAAGAUUUUUUGACAACGACGACAACGGGUAGAGAGGAAAGAUACGCGCAUUUGAAGGACGAUCCAAGAGCGAUAAUCCAAGAAUAAAGCGGAGAAAAAAGGUGCGCAAGGAGGACGAGAUACGAGAAAGCGUACGAGAAAGGUGAAAAAGAAGGAAGAAUUGUCCAUUUCCGGAGGUGGAGAUUUCCUGCCGCACUUUUCCCUUCCCUCUCUUAAUUUCCUCCUGCUCCCAUUGCUCAUAUUGCGUAUACGAUUGUGAAGUGCCCUCGCAACGUGAGUGCAUCGCAAAGACCAUAUAACGAAGUUAAGCGGCGCCACGAACGUUAAUAAAAACGUUUACUCAAUGCAUGUAUGAUUUACCCAGAGUGCUGCGGAUAAAUUACGCGAAGCAAAUUCCGCAUGCGAGAUACAAACGGAAUAAAGGGAUUCUUCUCGAUCAAGUGCGCCGCGCCGAGCCGCACCGGCGGAUCUCGCGUGAUUACUAGAUACAGUGUUGCUUGCGUGUGACGAGAGCCAGUGGACCCUCACGCGAGCACCGUCAAUUUAUCCAAAGCCUUCAUUAUACGGAACAGCCAGUGAGAGCCAGCGAAAGGGAGAAAGAAAGACAGAUGACAGGAAAAUAGAGUCAUGGAUAUCUGGAUGGCAAUACAAAGGAUUUGCAAUUCUACAUAUAAAGUAAUAGAUAACAAUUAUCGCCGUUAUCUCAUUUGAGCGAAGAUACGUUCAAAUCCGUUUCUUCGAUCUCAAUAAGAAAAUCGAUCACGAUUAUUGUGACAAGAAAACAAGAGAUCAGCUUUUCAUCCAUUAUUAUUCUGUAAGCGGUAUGGGCAAGGUGAAAAAGAGGCUAUCUUCGUUAGAAAUUCCUAGAACGCAGAGUGGGCGAAAGAAACCAAUGUGCGGGCGAUGCGAUGUUCAUGGAGUGGAAGUUGUGCUCGAGGGACAUAAAAAGUAUUGCAAAUUUCAACAAUGCGCAUGUGUAGAUUGUUAUUUUUUUCUGGCGGAACAGAGAAUAGCGGCAGACAAGAUAGCUCGGAAACGAGCGAGUAAGUUGAGUAAAGAGAAAAAAAUUAGUCACGUAGAGGUUAGUAUUUUUCUUUUCUCAAAGCAUAAGAUUUGACAAUAGAAAACUUGUUACCAUUGCGGUUGCAAAAAAUUGAUGAAAUAUUUAUUGAUUUGAUAAAUAAUUGGAAAUAUAGAGAUUUUUCCCCUUCUCCAUAUCAUGCUGUCAACAUGUCAAAUUGGACAGCAGAAAAAUGCAUAUUUUUUGUUUUCAUACGUAAUAUUAAAAUGGAAUUUUUUGUUCUCAUACAUAACAUUAACAUGAAAUUUUUUUUAUUCUUAUAUGUAAUAUUAAAAGACAUGUAUUUUCAAGUUUUAAUGCUAAAAUCAUAAUGUUUUUCGAGAAAUACACGGAAUUUUUAAAUUACGCGAAUUCUGAAGUCACGAUAUCUUUAGAAUGUUCCAAUUUCCAAACGAUUUAAAAUGCAGAGCUCAGCGAUUAAUUAUUUUAAAACGAAUUUAUUAUAUUUUACGCGUGCAUAAACAAAUUUUUAAAUAAUAUAAAUUUUAUGAUAUAUACAUAUAUUGAAAUACUUUUUCAAAAUUUUAACUUUUUCCUUGGAAGGAGGAAUUACAAAGUAUAAAAAAUGUAAUGUUUCUCGAUUUAAUAUCAUUAAAAGAGUCUAGUUAGAAAGUGUAAUGUCUUUGGAAACAUUUCGAAAUGGAAAUAAAAUUUAAAAUCGCGCAUAGUUUCUUAUGCAUUAGAG